rnacentral:lncRNA from 1 species
AAAUCGCAGCUGAAAAUUGUGAGCUUAUGAGUGAUUCUUAGAGCACAAAAAUUAUGAGAAAAAGAGAUAGGUCUGCUAGACAAUUUCUGAGUUUGCGAGAUAUUGGUAUGAAGUGGUUUUGCUGAUAUUUAUGGGUUGUUUUGAAACUAAUUUGCUAUUGGUUUGAGGCUGUUUCUGGCUGUCAUUGUUGUUGAGUUUCAGUUUCUUAAUUGCUGCCCUUUCCCUAUAUUUGUCUGCUAUCAAGGUAUUUUUUUAACUAUGUAGUAUAGAAUUAGUUAGAAAAUGUUGUAUAAUAUAUCUAAUGGCCAUGCCUUUUUUUAGUUUCAUGUUCUCUAUUAAAUAGAGUACAUUUCGCAAAGAGAAAUAGACAUAAUUAACUCUUGGGGAUAAGCUAAGAAUGCCACAACUUCCAAAGGGUAAAAGAGGCUCGCCAUAUUAUUUUGAUACUCUUUUCUUCAUAGUCAUUUGGUUAAUUUCUAAUGUUAUUGAAAAUUCGUUAAAGUUCUUUUUAUUCUAGUGAAAGAACUUUGUGAAGGUCUAUUUCUAUUAUCUUAUGCUUCGAUACUAUAUUUACUUUAUCUUCUUCUUUUCUGUUAAAAAUGUAAAGUUUUGUUCUCAUGGUCAGUACCUUAAAAUAUUUUUUUGUCUUAAUUUGUUUAUUUUAUUAUUAUUUCUAUCUGCAAUUAAUUUGAACAAAUGCUUCAGAAUUUGACGGUUAGCCUAUAACUUCUCAUAAGUUUGAUUUGGCUAGACGAUAU